AUUUCGUUUUUUAUUAAAACCAUUUAUAAUAGGCUUUCUCUACAUUUUCUAAAACAGAGGGAGGAGCAAGAUGGCAGAGGAGUAGGAGACCUAAAUUUCAUCUGGUCCCAGGAAUUCAGCUUGAUAAUUAUCAGACCAUUCUGAGCACCUACAAACUCAACAGGCCUCUGUUGUACCGUGUGUGCUGCAUUGCAGACCAACACCAGACUGAAAGUUGAGGAACUGUCUUCUAGUG
rnacentral:lncRNA from 1 species